rnacentral:rRNA from 1 species
UACGGAGGGUGCGAGCGUUGUCCGGAAUCACUGGGCGUAAAGGGCGCGUAGGUGGCUGGGGAAGUCGGCGGUGAAAGCCCGGAGCUCAACUCCGGGUCGGCCGUCGAGACUCCUCGGCUCGAGCUCACUAGAGGCAGAUGGAAUUCCGGGUGUAGCGGUGGAAUGCGUAGAGAUCCGGAAGAACACCGGUGGCGAAGGCGGUCUGCUGGGGUGAGGCUGACACUGAUGCGCGACAACGUGGGGAGCAAACAGG